rnacentral:rRNA from 1 species
GAGUUUGAUCCUGGCUCAGAACGAACGCUGGCGGCAGGCUUAACACAUGCAAGUCGAGCGCGCCCUUCGGGGUGAGCGGCGGACGGGUGAGUAACGCGUGGGAACAUACCCUUCACUGCGGAAUAGCCUCUGGAAACGGAGAGUAAUACCGCAUACGCCCUUUUGGGGAAAGAUUUAUCGGUGAGGGGAUGGGCCCGCGUUGGAUUAGGUAGUUGGUGGGGUAAUGGCCUACCAAGCCGACGAUCCAUAGCUGGUUUGAGAGGAUGAUCAGCCACACUGGGACUGAGACACGGCCCAGACUCCUACGGGAGGCAGCAGUGGGGAAUCUUAGACAAUGGGGGCAACCCUGAUCUAGCCAUGCCGCGUGUGUGAUGAAGGCCUUAGGGUCGUAAAGCACUUUCGCCUGUGAAGAUAAUGACGGUAGCAGGUAAAGAAACCCCGGCUAACUCCGUGCCAGCAGCCGCGGUAAUACGGAGGGGGUUAGCGUUGUUCGGAAUUACUGGGCGUAAGGCGCGCGUAGGCGGACUAUUAAGUCAGGGGUGAAAUCCCGGGGCUCAACCCCGGAACCGCCUUUGAUACUGGUAGUCUUGAGUUCGAGAGAGGUGAGUGGAAUUCCGAGUGUAGAGGUGAAAUUCGUAGAUAUUCGGAGGAACACCAGUGGCGAAAGCGGCUCACUGGCUCGAUACUGACGCUGANUGCGAAAGCGUGGGGAGCAAACNGAUUAGAUACCCUGGUAGUCAUCANA